GGACUCUGGAGAAGCUCAGCAAUGAGGGCCGAAGGUGCAAGGCGGCGCAGGCCGCUAAUCUCUCAGGCAAAAGGACAGAGGUU
rnacentral:ncRNA from 1 species